GAUGAAGAACGUAGCGAAAUGCGAUAAGUAGUGUGAAUUGCAGAAUUCCGUGAAUCAUUGAAUCUUUGAACGCACAUUGCGCCUCCUGGUAAUCCGUGAGGCAUGCCUGUCCGAGCGUCAGUAAAAAGCAACUCGGCCGCGGCUGGCGGUUGGUGAUGGAGGAAGAGCACGUCUCGUUAUCGGUCUCCCCUCCCAAAAUCAACGGCGGAAUGUCACUGGCACUCGGUGUUGUAGUAUUAUUCGCCGAUCACCCAUUGUUGUUCCUGCCGCCCAAACCCCCACAAUUCUCUUGAUUGACCUCGGAUCAGGUAGGGAUACCCGCUGAACUUAAGCAUAUCAAUAAGCGGAGGA
rnacentral:misc_RNA from 1 species